AUCGGUAUGGGAUGGGGUCGCGUCCUAUCAGCUUGAUGGCGGGGUAACGGCCCACCAUGGCUUCGACGGGUAGCCGGCCUGAGAGGGCGACCGGCCACAUUGGGACUGAGAUACGGCCCAGACUCCUACGGGAGGCAGCAGUGGGGAAUAUUGCACAAUGGGCGCAAGCCUGAUGCAGCGACGCCGCGUGCGGGAUGACGGCCUUCGGGUUGUAAACCGCUUUUGACUGGGAGCAAGCCCUUCGGGGUGAGUGUACCUUUCGAAUAAGCACCGGCUAACUACGUGCCGGCAGCCGCGGUAAUACGUAGGGUGCAAGCGUUAUCCGGAAUUAUUGGGCGUAAAGGGCUCGUAGGCGGUUCGUCGCGUCCGGUGUGAAAGUCCAUCGCUUAACGGUGGAUCCGCGCCGGGUACGGGCGGG
rnacentral:rRNA from 1 species